rnacentral:lncRNA from 1 species
AGAUGCUUAAUAAAUGUUUAGUGUGUGAUCACUUCCUUCUUUUUCAUCUUUAUUUUUCUGUUUAUGGGAUAUGAUAUAAACUAAAUAAAAUGUUUUUUAGCAGUAAGAAGUUAAUAACAAAGCAAUGUUUGAUAAGAUCCUCUAAACUAUACUAUUUUUCUUUUAUUCUAGGGCAGCAUAUUACUUGAGAGUCACUUGGAUAGAGGCCUGGUCUUGAAAUCAGGAAGACUUGAGUUCAGGUUUUACCUUUGAUGUGUGCUGGCCUUGUACUCAUGGGCAAGUCAUUUAACCUCUCAGGAAUGUUGGGGAUUCUCAAAGAAUACAUCAGUAGCAAAUUGCUGAUGUGCAUUGGUGGAGGAAGUUUCUCUUUAUGGAAUUUUUUAUAACAAUUAAACUACAAUGGCGGAUAAAAUGCAUGGGUUUCCAACAACUGGAUUGAUUGUCUACUAGGGAAAAUUGUCACCAAUGGCAGUAAAACUGAUUUUCCGGUGCACUGGGUAAGUUUUUUGUUUAUCAUUCCAUUCAUUGAUUUUUUUUCAUUCAAUUUUGAUUUUAAGUCCCUAAUCACAUUUUUUUUUGUUGAAGAGACUUUUAGGUGGAUUUACUAUAUACUGGGUGCCAUUCAAAUAAAACAUCUGGCCAUUAUGUUUUGUAAACCAAACAAAAAGAAACUGCUGAAAAUUAACUUUUAUGAAAGCAGAAUUUGAUGAUGUAUUCUUUUUUGGGGGAAAACACUAAAAUACUGACAGAAAUUUAAGUCCAAAGAGAUACUUUGGUAUAUGAUUCUAGAACUAGUUCUGCUUUUUUUUUUUGUUGCUGAUAUAUGAAACCAUUAGUAUGUGAUAAUAAAGGAACUGUCAUGUAGUGAAAGUGAAGGAAA